rnacentral:rRNA from 1 species
UUACGGUCAAAUCACGCUGAAACACCGGUUCUCGUUCGAUCACCGAAGUUAAGCAUCGUAGAGCCAGGUCAGUACUUAGAUGGGAGCACCUGG